rnacentral:rRNA from 1 species
UACGUAGGGACCAAGCGUUAUCCGGAUUCACUGGGUUUAAAGGGUGCGUAGGCGGGUAAGUAAGUCCGUGGUGAAAUCUCUGAGCUUAACUCAGAAACUGCCGUGGAUACUAUUUGCCUUGAAUAUUGUGGAGGUGAGCGGAAUAUGUCAUGUAGCGGUGAAAUGCUUAGAUAUGACAUAGAACACCAAUUGCGAAGGCAGCUCACUACACAAUCAUUGACGCUGAGGCACGAAAGCGUGGGGAUCAAACAGG